rnacentral:rRNA from 1 species
UACGGAGGGUGCAAGCGUUAUCCGGAUUCACUGGGUUUAAAGGGUGCGUAGGCGGUCAUGUAAGUCAGUGGUGAAAGCUUCCAGCUUAACUGGGAAACUGCCAUUGAAACUGUGUGACUUGAGUACAAUUGAAGUGGGCGGAAUACAUCAUGUAGCGGUGAAAUGCUUAGAUAUGAUGUAGAACACCGAUUGCGAAGGCAGCUCACUAAAUUGCAACUGACGCUGAGGCACGAAAGCGUGGGUAGCGAACAGG